CUGCAGCAUUACAUCUCAGCCAUCCCAAACUGUUGUAGAAGCAGCUAAAAGGAGAGUUUCAGAAGAAAAAGGGCAAAUCUUGCUUCUGUUUGAAAUCAUAUCCUUACAAUUUAAUGGUACUGGAAUAAAUUCAAGCAACAUAUUAUAAAUUGCACAUGAAUAAUGACCUUUAAAUAAAAGAACUAGAUGUCUUAUGAUUGUUGUUGUACAAGAAAUAUGAAGAUCACGGAGAAAUGUUAGCUACUGACAGGCAGGCUUUCAGAGGUGCAAAGCACAGAGGCACUGUAUGUUCCAGUGGUUCAAUACAAGCAAAGACUGAUCCUAAAUACACAAAAAAUUAGAUGUUGAGACCUGCACAACCUUGAGCUAAUAAAAGUCGGAAUAAAAAAGAAAAAAGCUCCUUUGUGCUGGGCACAAGCUGAUGGUUAAAUUAUGCAAGAUAUUUAAUGGGGAGGAAUUCCUUACAGAAAAUCCUCAGGAAACCAGAUGUUUACAGCCUUCAACUCAGUUUGACCAAAAAUGGGAAUGGCUCCAUCUAUACCCAACUCUGAAGUGUUCAAGAUCUAAGUCUUUGUGGCCUUUGCAAGUUGAACAAAUUCCAUGAGAAGUCUUGUCCUCUGAGUCUGAUGUGAUUUUUCUCUACAAUUUUUUUUCUUCUUUAUUUGGCUUUUUCUCACCCUGCCCUCUAUUGUCACAUAGUUCCACUUGCAUUUGUGUCUAUGUGGCAAACAUAAAACUUCUGGAGUCCUUAUGACAGUGUGUAUUAAAACAAGUCCAUGUGGGAUUUAAUAAUGAAAAACAUUGUUAUUAACGAUGUAAAUUGUAAACUCCCAUUGCGUUCCACUGCUAGCUGCUGAAGACUGUCCACACACAAUUGGGUGCCUUCCAAAUCUAUUACUACUGUUUUUAUAGACUGUUCAGGAAGAAGAAAUAUUUUACUUUUGAAUCCAAAUCUCCAUUCUCCAGUAUUCCCAAAUGCAAAAAACUUACUUUAGUUUCUUGGUACUUCUACAUCUUAGCUAAUUUUUGCCUUUUAUGCCUGGAAUAUUCUACUGUUUUUGUAUGUCUUUCUGACAGGAUAC